CGGAACCGGAGCAACCGGGGCCGCCCCCGCACAUGCGCAGAGCGGGCGCCCGGCGGCCCGGGCCUCGCUCCGCCCGGGCCCGGCGCCGCCAUGGGCACCACGAUCAGCUCCUGUGCAGAGAGUUGUGAGUUUAUGAAGCACCUCAGCAGUUUCUGUCACUCUUCCUAGAAGGUGUCACGGGAAAACUUCACUCUUUUGUUCCAAGAAUUCAGUGGCAUCCCAGAACGCCGGCGACCUGCUGAGUUGGAUGGCAGCACCCCUAAAAUGUGUGUCCCUCGGCGGCUGCCCAGCGCGGGGAUAGCUGUGCCCGGCCGGCUGCGUGGCGCUGCCAUCUGAUGUGUGCCCAGUGAGCUGGGGUGGGCCUGUAUUCAGCAGCUUCAGGAGCAGUGAAGCUUUCUAUUGCCUGUGAUAUUUAGAGGAAAUUUCUCUUGGUAUUAUUUCCCAGCACCAAACCAACCUGCUCAUGUGCCUCCCCACAGGUGUCUCCAGCACAGGGUUAG